CCUUGUGCACAGUAGGGUUUCAGUUCACACCUUCAGUGUGAAUAAAUGAAAAAGUGUGAAUAACGACUGAGUCACACCUUUAGAGGGAUGACUUGAACACAGUAGGGCUUCAGUUUAUGCCUGUAGAAUGUAUAAAGGAAAAUGUUUGAAUAGCAACUGAGUCACACGAUUCAUACAUCUCUGAAAACAUACUCCUCUGAAUACUCUAUUCCUGGUUGAUAGGAAUUUAUUUUGUUCUACCAGUAUAUCAUUGGUUUUCAAGUAGUCUAAUCAUAAUCCAGUGAGAGAAAAAAAACAUAUUUUUGCAAUGAAACUCCCUUCUUAAAAUUUGGUCCUACAUAUUCAUUGAGAAUUGCAUACAUGUGUAUAAUAUACUUUGAUGAUAUUCAGACCCUCUGUCCCUUCUGUUCCCCCCUGAUCUCCCUCACCAAAUACCUCUCCCAACUUCAUGCCAGAUUGUUUUUUAAGUAACUGACUGAGACCAGGAGUGUUGCAAGUAUGUGGAGAAGUAUAGGUCCAUUCACGGGAUCAUGGGAAACCCCUGAAAAAUGUGACUCUCCCUGUGCUAAAAUCACUGAACUUCCAAACGUUUCUCAACUAGGGUUUCACGGACACUGCCCACAAUCCAUGGAUUUCUGACUAGCUUCAUCUCGUGCCACUCUUGUGCAGGCAGCUCUAGCUACUGUGAGAUCAUGAGUGCAAUGGGUCUUUGUUUCGAGAACAGAAUGCAUUUCAACAGUCCUGCAAGAUCCAACUUUCAAAAAAGUCCACUUUGCAAGAGAAGUUCCUCUAUUUGUUUUCGUGGAUUCAAAGUUUGACACAAUUAGUUCCCUAAAACUAGCUUUUUUUGUAAUCUUGCUAAUAUUUCCAUUCUUUUCCCUUAGGGAAGGAAAUUCUAUUUCAUUGGCUUAUGAUUGCUUCCGUAAGGUUUCCUUCUAUAAUUAGGAGCCUAUGUAAUUUUUUUUUUCGCUAGAAGUGGAAAUCAAAUCUGAUGUCUGCCUUCGGGGAUUUUACCUUUAUUCUAGCAGACAAUACAUAAGAGCUUUUUGCUUCAGAACCAUAGGAGACUCCUCAUUCUCAUAUGUGCCUGACGCCACUUCUCUGUCUUUACUUAAAGUUGCUUUUAUUUGAUGAAAGAAAACCUUAUUGCAUGAAAGAAAAUAUUAUUAUUCCAUGAUACAGGGCAACAACAGGAUAACUGGGAGGAGUCCCAAUAAGGCUCCAUUAUUGAUGGUGUCACAGAAGCCCCUGAUCUGAAUAUUUGCCAAUGAAGAUAUGUGGACAGAAAUAUACUGUGGGACACACUGUGACAUGCUACUGCUUUCCACGGAAAAUCAGCUAAUGGAGGAAAGCCCAGGGGGCCUCAACACUACAGAAGGAACCGAGGGCAACAAAGGAAUGCUGAGAGCAGGAGAAAGUCUGCCCUGGAGAAGAGCGCAUCAGUUAGUUACCCAACACUUGAUGAUCAGUCCUGAAAACAUACAGAGAAUAACAUUCUACAGACCGAACAGGCCUCUCCAUUGUUCCUCUGAACAGGCACUUUCUUAAGCUGUUCGUUCAGAUGCGUACAAAGCAAAGCCUCACUGUUCUUGGAACCUAGACAUCCUGAGGCAUGACUGACAGGAACCAUGGGAGACUCAACUAUUUGGUUUACUCCACAGCAACAUCUUGGGAUCGAUUUUCUACUUUGGAAAAAGAAUGGCGGAGCUAAGCAAUGACAUUCUUGGAUUCUGAGUUCCUCUCAAUAGGGUUUGGCAAGUUUUCCGAAAGAUUGAUUUCGUGAAAACGGAAGCUUCAUUGCCCAUUCGAAACCCAAUCACCCAACCACACUGGAUCUACUGUUCCUACAGUUGGCUCAGUCAAAGAAACCGUUUGACCUGAAUGUCUGACCCAAUGACCAGUGGAUUGACUGAAUUCCCAGCCCUCCGCUCUGCUCUGCCCAUGCGUGUCCGCGCGCUUUGUUUGCUAGCUGGCUGGCAGUUUCUGCAUAGAGAACACACAGCAUAUGCCAGGUGGCCAUGUGUCUGAAGCAGACAGAAGAGAACAAAGCAAAAGGGGGAGAAAAAAAAUAAAAAGAUUUCAUUUGGACAGGGAUGCUUUCAGCCCUCGGAACCGCCUGUACGGGAGAAGAGCAGAGAAGGCAAUGCCACUUGAAUAUACUCAACAGUAAACAACAUCAAACCUGAGAUUCACAUCACAAAUCUCCCUCUGCUGCUGCUGACAGGCUCAGCAUGCACGUGGUGGCAGGAGACAAAGAAAUCUGCUCUGUGAGGCAAAUACUGGAGAAACACCUCAUCCGACUGAGCGCCUCCUCAGUUUUAGGAUCUGUUCCGUAAUAACCCUGCGUUCCUAGGGUCAGACACCUGUUUUGUUAAAGGAGAGCACUCGGCGAAUGAAAUCAGAACUUGCUUUGUGUCUUUCCUGUUCUUUUAGUAUAUAAUGCGCUGCUCGCGCUCCCUUAGCUCACAAAGCUACUGAACACAGGGGUCAGAUGCUAACGCCAUCUCAGAAGUAUUAGAAACUAUUAAAUAUCAUUCGAUACAGAAGUCAGAAGAUGUGGGCUCUUUGAAGAGAAAUGGAUUCUUUAUCUUAUAAAUAUGCUGUAGUUUAUGAUUAAGGAUAAACACAUUUACCUCUCUGCAGUUAUUACGUAGACGCUGCUAUAGGAUAGAUGGCAAACUACCCCACUUCCAGUACUACUGAUUUUCCCCCUAUAGUACCAUUAAGAUGAAAACUGGCAUUCAGAGCUGUUAGUUGACCAGUCCAAGGUCACAUCACUGUUAAGAGAAACUUCAAGCCAAGGUUUCCUGAUUCUAAAGCCUGUGCUAAUAACAUCACAGAUGCCUCUGUUUAUCGAUAAGCUAGUUCGCAGGAGAUUCUCCAGAGUAGUGUGUACCUCUUCCGCAAACUGUGCUAUUUGUCUAAUUGGAUGCAGGUGUUCUACUGUCUAAUUGUCAGUCUAGAUGUUUGCAUAUGAAAGCGUUUGGCAUUUUUUUCUGUUUUCAAGGAAUUUUGUCUCUUUAUAUUAAAUCUGACAAUUCCUUCCAUUGGUUUUUUCCUAUCCUGUAUUUUACCUUUCCUAUAUUUAAUUCAAAAAGGCAGAACUAAUCAUUCAAUUCUGGGUGCCCUGUGAUCAUAUUCUCCUGCCUCUAAGGCUUUCUGCUUUUCCCCUCACUUGCAUGGAUGACAUGUCUAUAGUUUUGGCUCCAGGCCAUUUAUGGUUACCCAGAAAACAAAUCAAUUUCUUCUUUUCUUUUGAAUUUCCACCCAGCCCACUGUCUUAUGAGAGGAGAGAGAUAAAUACAAUUUCUUAUGAUGGUGUACAAUUCAAUAAUAAAAUCAAAAGAAACUCUCAGAAAAACAUAGG
rnacentral:lncRNA from 1 species